GAUGAGCGCUGACAGAAUGCUUAACACAUGCAAGUCUACUUGAACUUCGGUUUGGGUGGCGGACGGGUGAGUAACGCGUAAAGAACUUGCCUCACAGUUAGGGACAACAUUUGGAAACGAAUGCUAAUACCUGAUAUUAUGAUUUUAGGGCAUCCUAGGAUUAUGAAAGCUAUAUGUGCUGUGAGAGAGCUUUGCGUCCCAUUAGCUAGUUGGAGAGGUAACGGCUCACCAAGGCGAUGAUGGGUAGCCGGCCUGAGAGGGUGAACGGCCACAAGGGGACUGAGACACGGCCCUUACUCCUACGGGAGGCAGCAGUGGGGAAUAUUGGACAAUGGACCAAAAGUCUGAUCCAGCAAUUCUGUGUGCACGAUGACGUUUUUCGGAAUGUAAAGUGCUUUCAGUUGGGAAGAAAAAAAUGACGGUACCAACAGAAGAAGUGACGGCUAAAUACGUG
rnacentral:rRNA from 1 species